GAUUUCUGGGCAUCAGUUUCUGGCCGGCCACGGUUUCGUGUGUUAGUGCUUGAAGCUUUGUCCAUCCUUCCAAUUGCUAGCUACUAUUCUUCAUUGAAUGGUAGUUAGUAUUGGAUCUUUUACUUUGAAAAAAUUAGAGUGUUUCAAGCAGGCUUUAUGCUAUGAAUACAUUAGCAUGGAAUAAUAACUUAGGACUUCGGUUCUAUUUUGUUGGUUUCUAGGACUGAAGUAAUGAUUGAUAGGGAUAGUUGGGGGUGCUAGUAUUGGCCGGCCAGAGGUGAAAUUCUUGGAUUCGGUCAAGACUAACUUAUGCGAAAGCAUU
rnacentral:rRNA from 1 species